CAUGUCAUCAGCGCCUGCGUCUUGCGCCGGUGGUCGGCGCUCCAGUAGACGGUGGAGGGGACGAUGGUGGCGGGGCCGCAGGUGUAGCCGAGCCCGGGGCCCAUGAGCGUGAAGUUCUUGGGCAGCUUCACGGUCUUGUUGGUGGUCCCGGCGAGCCCCACGGAGACCUGGAACGCCGAGAGCGAGCCGGCGGGGUCCUGGCCGUAGGCGGAGAUGACGCCGCCACGGCAGCAGUUGGCGAUCUGCUGGUUGUAGGGGACGCCGGGGAGGAGGUCGACGACGGAGGGCGUGUGCUUGCAGCAGUGCGGGAUGCCGCCCUUGAACUUGGAGCAGUCGCCCUGCUCGGUCGCCUGCGCUCCCACGAUGGACCAGAUCACCUCCUUCUUGGCCCACGACCACCCCAGCGUCCACCCAGGCGCCAUGAUCUGGCGGUACUGCUGGUAG
rnacentral:rRNA from 1 species